UCCAACUGCUAAAAUGAUUUGAGUAUAGUUGGUGAGGCCUGCCCACUGAUUUAUGUUAACAGCAUAAGUUUAAGGGCCGCGGUAACUCUGACCGUGCUAAGGUAGCAUAAUCAAUUGCCACGUAAUUUGUGGCUAGUAUGAAAGGUUUAACAAGCUUUCCCCUGUCUCAACUACAUACCCACCGAAAUUUAAUAAGCUGUGAAGAUUCAGCUUCGCUCUGGUAGGACGAGAAGACCCCGUUGAGCUUGACUUUAAACCCUAGCAUUAUAUACUAUUAGUAAAAGCUAUGAUGUUGUAGGGUAGGUAAGUUUGGUUGGGGCGACCACCUAAAUACAAGUAACUUAGGUAAGCUAAGGUUAAAUAAUAAUAUAGUAAGCUUGACUGUAAGACUGAUAAGUCUAUCAGGUAGAUAUUCUAAGCUAUAGUGACCCUGUUAAUAGGUUAACAGCAAUUAGAUAAAAGUUACCACGGGGAUAACAGGGUUAUCUAGUAACAAAGUUCAUAUUGAAAACUAGGUUUGCCACCUCGAUGUUGAAUAGCAGUGUCCUAGGGGUGCAGCAGCUCCUGAAGGUUGGUCUGUUCGACCAUUAAAAC
rnacentral:rRNA from 1 species